rnacentral:rRNA from 1 species
ACCUACGGGGGGCAGCAGUGGGGAAUAUUGCACAAUGGGGGAAACCCUGAUGCAGCGACGCCGCGUGAGUGAAGAAGUAUUUCGGUAUGUAAAGCUCUAUCAGCAGGAAAGAAGAAGGACGGUACCUGAGUAAGAAGCCCCGGCUAACUACGUGCCAGCAGCCGCGGUAAUACGUAGGGGGCAAGCGUUAUCCGGAUUUACUGGGUGUAAAGGGAGCGUAGACGGCGAAGAAAGUCUGAAGUGAAAGCCCGCGGCUCAACCG